AACGCGAAGAACCUUACCUGGGCUCGAAAUGUAGUGGACCGGAGUAGAAAUAUUCCUUCUCAGCAAUGGGCCGCUAUAUAGGUGCUGCAUGGCUGUCGUCAGCUCGUGUCGUGAGAUGUUGGGUUAAGUCCCGCAACGAGCGCAACCCUUAUCCCCAGUUGCCAUCAUUAAGUUGGGCACUCUGGUGAAACCGCCUCGGAUAACGGGGAGGAAGGUGGGGAUGACGUCAAGUCCUCAUGGCCUUUAUGUCCAGGGCUACACACGUGCUACAAUGGCCGGUACAAACCGUCGCAAACCCGCGAGGGGGAGCUAAUCGGAAAAAGCCGGCCUCAGUUCGGAUUAGAGUCUGCAACUCGACUCUAUGAAGCUGGAAUCGCUAGUAAUCGCGGAUCAGAACGCCGCGGUGAAUACGUUCCCGGGCCUUGUA
rnacentral:rRNA from 1 species